rnacentral:misc_RNA from 1 species
UAAAGCUUGGAAUUUUGGCUGCAGGAAUAUCGAUAGGAGCACCAGUUUGUGGAUUACGGCCGGUUCUAGCAGCGCGCUCCUUUACCAAGAAGGUACCAAAACCUACCAAUGCAACUUGAUCGCCAUUUUUCAAUGCGGAUGCAAUUGAAUCUGU